rnacentral:rRNA from 2 species
GACGGGUGAGUAACGCGUGGGAACGUACCUUUUGGUUCGGAACAACACAGGGAAACUUGUGCUAAUACCGGAUAAGCCCUUACGGGGAAAGAUUUAUCGCCGAAAGAUCGGCCCGCGUCUGAUUAGCUAGUUGGUGAGGUAAUGGCUCACCAAGGCGACGAUCAGUAGCUGGUCUGAGAGGAUGAUCAGCCACAUUGGGACUGAGACACGGCCCAAACUCCUACGGGAGGCAGCAGUGGGGAAUAUUGGACAAUGGGGGCAACCCUGAUCCAGCCAUGCCGCGUGAGUGAUGAAGGCCCUAGGGUUGUAAAGCUCUUUUGUGCGGGAAGAUAAUGACGGUACCGCAAGAAUAAGCCCCGGCUAACUUCGUGCCAGCAGCCGCGGUAAUACGAAGGGGGCUAGCGUUGCUCGGAAUCACUGGGCGUAAAGGGUGCGUAGGCGGGUCUUUAAGUCAGGGGUGAAAUCCUGGAGCUCAACUCCAGAACUGCCUUUGAUACUGAGGAUCUUGAGUUCGGGAGAGGUGAGUGGAACUGCGAGUGUAGAGGUGAAAUUCGUAGAUAUUCGCAAGAACACCAGUGGCGAAGGCGGCUCACUGGCCCGAUACUGACGCUGAGGCACGAAAGCGUGGGGAGCAAACAGGAUUAGAUACCCUGGUAGUCCACGCCGUAAACGAUGAAUGCCAGCCGUUAGUGGGUUUACUCACUAGUGGCGCAGCUAACGCUUUAAGCAUUCCGCCUGGGGAGUACGGUCGCAAGAUUAAAACUCAAGGAAUUGACGGGGGCCCGCACAAGCGGUGGAGCAUGUGGUUUAAUUCGACGCAACGCGCAGAACCUUACCAGCCCUUGACAUGUCCAGGACCGGUCGCAGAGAUGUGACCUUCUCUUCGGAGCCUGGAGCACAGGUGCUGCAUGCUGUCGUCAGCUCGUGUCGUGAGAUGUUGGGUUAAGUCCCGCAACGAGCGCAACCCCCGUCCUUAGUUGCUACCAUUUAGUUGAGCACUCUAAGGAGACUGCCGGUGAUAAGCCGCGAGGAAGGUGGGGAUGACGUCAAGUCCUCAUGGCCCUUACGGGCUGGGCUACACACGUGCUACAAUGGCGGUGACAAUGGGAUGCUAAGGGGCGACCCUUCGCAAAUCUCAAAAAGCCGUCUCAGUUCGGAUUGGGCUCUGCAACUCGAGCCCAUGAAGUUGGAAUCGCUAGUAAUCGUGGAUCAGCACGCCACGGUGAAUACGUUCCCGGGCCUUGUACACACCGCCCGUCACACCAUGGGAGUUGGUUUUACCUGAAGACGGUGCGCUAACCCGCUAGGUAGGCAGCCGGC